UCCUCCCUCCUCACCACUUGCGUCUGAAGCUGAUAGUUCUUCGCGUACGGCUUGUAGCUAGAACAAUGUUAUCGCAAAUCGAAAAUAAUAGAACUUUUUAUUAAAGCAGUUAGAGCAGCGGCAAGGGCGGGCGCGGAAUCUCGGGCGGCUGCAAGAAGUGCGUCGGGCGGCAAGUCGCUCCGCACCACGGGGGCCAAUACCGCCCCAACCUCCCCUUGGGAUAACCACGACGCGCCACACCCACUGAACGGGUUGCCUGACUCCAGGGAUCCCUUCCUGCCCGAUACAAUGAUUCUAAUUCCGUACACAAAUUAGACUAAGCUAGAAUUAAUUACUGCGUGUAUUCGUAGUUACUUGUAAACGUACUAAUAAGCCCCAAAUAACCUUUGAAUAUUUGUCCUUAUAACAAAAGAAUGCAGUGCAGUUUCGACAGUUGUAAUCCAGAAUUACCGACAAGAAUUUGAUUCACGACAUCACUUAUUUUUUCUGUUGUAAAUUAUAGGCCCACAUUUUAUUUUGUAAAUAGUACCUAGGAUCAAAGAAGCCGGCUAAGUAUCAACAAUUAUGGAAAGUUAAAAAAUGCUUAUCAGUGUAAGAACUACUGAUAUUACAUUAUUAUUUACAUUUAUUAUACAUUUAUAACAACGAAAACUAUUGAAUUGAGCUUAGCGACGUUCCUAGCCAAUUUAAACUAUAACUAGGAUUAUACCUAGGACCGUAAUAUUACGUAUUACUAAUCUACUUUACGUAGAAUUCCUUUUUUGCGAAACGUGGAUCUUCUUCCAGAUUUUUUUUUCGUAUUAGCGGGAAUAAUUGAGCUUCUCUUCUAUGCUUUCAAAUAUCGUGGUACUCCUACCUUGGUGUAUGGCUCGGAGAAGGCGGUAACGAUCUGGAGGAUGAGUUGCUCUUAGCCACACAAAGGGAGUGAGCGGAUCCAGCCCUUCGAAGCCCUGCAACCAGCGCACUCAUAGCUCCACCGCCUACAACAAUAGUACUAGCUAUAGCAUAUAAACAAAAAAGUUGAAAUAUUAAUAAAACUUUAAUUUACAUUGA